CAGUCGCCACGGUAACACAGAGGGUGCGAGCGUUAAUCGGAUUUACUGGGCGUAAAGCGUGCGUAGGCGGCUUCUUAAGUCGGAUGUGAAAUCCCUGAGCUUAACUUAGGAAUUGCAUUCGAUACUGGGAAGCUAGAGUAUGGGAGAGGAUGGUAGAAUUCCAGGUGUAGCGGUGAAAUGCGUAGAGAUCUGGAGGAAUACCGAUGGCGAAGGCAGCCAUCUGGCCUAAUACUGACGCUGAGGUACGAAAGCAUGGGGAGCAAACAGGAUUAGAUACCCGCGUAGUCCCUGUCUCUUAUAC
rnacentral:rRNA from 1 species